CCUACUGGAGGCAGCAGUGAGGAAUAUUGGUCAAUGGCCGGAAGGCUGAACCAGCCAAGCCGCGUGAAGGACGAAGGUGCCAAGCAUUGUAAACUUCUUUUGUCAAGGGACAAAAUCAGUCUCGAGAGCCUGACCGAGGGUACUUGAAGAAAAAGCAUCGUCUAAAUCUGUGCCAGCAGCCGCGGUAAUACGGAGGAUGCGAGCGUUAUCCGGAUUUAUUGGGUUUAACGGGUGCGUAGGCGGGCUGUUAAGUCAGCGGUAAAAGCCCGGGGCUCAAACCCGGCGAGCCGUUGAAACUGGCUGUCGUGAGAUGGCGAGAGGUAUGCGGAAGGCGCAGUGUAGCGGUGAAAUGCUUAG
rnacentral:rRNA from 1 species